CCUACGUGAGGCAGCAGUGGGGAAUAUUGCACAAUGGGGGAAACCCUGAUGCAGCGACGCCGCGUGAGUGAAGAAGGAAUUCGUUACGUAAAGCUCUAUCAGCAGGGAAGAAACACUGACCUUACGGUCAGCAGACGGUACAUGAGUAAGAAGCGCCGGCUAACUCCGUGCCAGCAGCCGCGGUAAUACGGAGGAUGCGAGCGUUAUCCGGAUUUAUUGGGUUAAAAGGGUGCGUAGGCGGAAUAUCAAGUCAGCGGUAAAAAUUCGGGGCUCAACCCCGUCGUGCCGUUGAGACUGAUGUUCUUGAGUGGGCGAGAAGUAUGCGGAAUGCGUGGUGUAGCGGUGAAAUGCAUAGAUAUCACGCAGAACUCCGAUUGCGAAGGCAGCAUACCGGCGCCCAACUGACGCUGAAGCACGAAAGCGUGGGUAUCGAACAGGAUUAGAUACCCCUGUAGUC
rnacentral:rRNA from 1 species